GCCAUUUCUGCAGCCUUGCUCACGCUUGAACUGUGAAAACUCUUGAUCUCAUCAUGAGUGCUAUCAGGUACAUUCUUUCCCUUUUCUGCUUCUACUUUGUUGUCUAAAAUCAGCAUUUGCUGAACCUCUUUAAGUUUUACAUCGUAUGCAGCUUUAUCUUCCGUUGACAGCUUGGCUUUUCUUCGAUUAAAUAGCAGUGCAUAAUGGUUUGAUAAUGCUUCAAGUUCCUAGAACUGCUCUGGACCUCCAUAGAUGUAAAAGCAUCUGUCAAAAGUGACCUCCUCCAUCAACUGAUCCACUUCAGU
rnacentral:lncRNA from 1 species